CAGGAAAUCCUGUUAAAUUUGAAUUUCAGAUAAACAAUGAAUAAUUUUUAGUGUAAGUAUGUCCCAUGCAAUGUUUGGGACAUACUUAUGCUACAAAUUAUUCACUGUUUAUCUGAAAUUGAAAUUUAAUAAUGGGUCCUGAA
rnacentral:miRNA from 1 species